UUUGGAGGAAUAUUGGGGUCUCAUAACGAUUUUUAUUAUGACAUGCAAUUCCUACCGCUUCGUUGAAAAUGAAUGUUUUUUGUUUCAGGCAAGAAUUACGGGUUCCAAAUUGCAUGCCAAUUUACAAACUUCGACAUUGAAGCACAAUAUCAAUUAAUAAAUAAUUUUUUAUUACAGUCAUUAUUUAUUUAUUAAAAAAUUAUUUUGUAUUUUCCAAAUGAACACCUAAAUCACCUAAAGCUUUGGAAAUAUCCAGCUUUAUGAUUCGUUCAUAAAAAAUUCGCAAAGAAACAGCUUUUUAUUGUUCUAAAUCAGGUUUCCUUCUUUAGUGGCUGAAUAUAGAACGUUGAUCUUCCAUUCGUCGAAGCUAAUACGUUCUACGAAAGUACCAUUCACGUUUUUUUAUUAAUAAACAAUUAAUAAACAGUACACGUAUGCAUUGUAUGAAUUAGUUCGAUAAUUUUUAAAUAGUUUAUUUUACGUAAUAUAAAAGAUAUAAGCGAAUAAAAUUAUCCAUCCGUUUUGAAAGUAUAGCGCAGUUUCUACUAUAUUCUUCUGUUACGAAAACUGUAUAUACGAUUGUGACACACAUCUUACAAAAUUUUAACUACUGACGCAUCAAAGCAGCGAAUAAAUAUAAAAUACGAACCAAUAACUUUACUGACUCAUAAAUUCUCUCAGGAGAAUAGGAUACAUUCGUAUAAACAGAGUACAAAUUGCGAUUACUGUAAUUAGGAUGUAUAGACUAAGCGCAAUGUCCUGCAAAAUACGAUUGAAAAAAUGCGUUCUCGUGUUUCUCUUACUGCUGCAUUGUGACGUCUUACAUUAAAUUUUUACAGAUCUGAGGAUGUAA